GAGCGUAUUGAAACGUUAUCGAUAAGAAGAGAGCGUCUAGGCGAACAAUGUUCUUAAAGUUUGACCUCAAAUCAGGUAGGAGUACCCGCUGACUUAAGCAUAUCAUAAGCCGGAGGAAAGAAACCAACCGGGAUUGCCUUAGUAACGGCGAGUGAAGCGGCAAAAGCUCAAAUUUGAAAUCUGGUACCUUUGGUGCCCGAGUUGUAAUUUGGAGAGGGCAACUUUGGGACCGUUCCUUGUCUAUGUUCCUUGGAACAGGACGUCAUAGAGGGUGAGAAUCCCGUGUGGCGAGGAGUGCGGUUCUAUGUAAAGUGCCUUCGAAGAGUCGAGUUGUUUGGGAAUGCAGCUCUAAGUGGGUGGUAAAUUCCAUCUAAAGCUAAAUAUUGGCGAGAGACCGAUAGCGAACAAGUACAGUGAUGGAAAGAUGAAAAGAACUUUGAAAAGAGAGUGAAAAAGUACGUGAAAUUGUUGAAAGGGAAGGGCAUUUGAUCAGACAUGGUGUUUUGCGCCCUCUGCUCCUUGUGGGUGGGGGAAUCUCGCAGUUCAUCUGGGCCAGCAUCAGUUUUGGUGGCAGGAUAAAUCCGUAGGAAUGUAACUUGCUUCGGGAAGUAUUAUAGCCUAUGGGAAUACUGCCAACUGGGACUGAGGACUGCGACGUAAGUCAAGGAUGCUGGCAUAAUGGUACAUCCCUGG
rnacentral:rRNA from 1 species